rnacentral:rRNA from 1 species
AUAGCCUCUGGCUAUAGGAAAUUGUUAGUGGCAGACGGGUGAGUAUGCGUAGGAAUCUACCUAGUAGUACGGAAUAGCCAUUAGAAAUGGUGGGUAAUACUGUAUAAUCCCCGAGGGGGAAAGAUUUAUCGCUAUUAGAUGAGCCUACGUUAGAUUAGCUAGUUGGUGAGGUAAUGGCUUACCAAGGCUAUGAUCUAUAGCUGGUCUGAGAGGACGAUCAGCCACACUGGAACUGAGAUACGGUCCAGACUCCUACGGGAGGCAGCAGUGGGGAAUAUUGGACAAUGGGCGAAAGCCUGAUCCAGCUAUGCCGCGUGAGUGAAGAAGGCCUUCGGGUUGUAAAACUCUUUCAAUAGGGAAGAUAAUGACG